GACGAACGCUGGCGGCGUGCCUAAUACAUGCAAGUAGAACGAUGAGGAGAGGAGCUUGCUCUUCUUGGAUGAGUUGCGAACGGGUGAGUAACGCGUGGGUAACCUGCCUUGUAGAGGGGGAUAACUACUGGAAACGAUAGCUAAUACCGCAUAACAUAUGAAGCCACAUGGUAUUUUAUUGAAAGGGGCAAUUGCUCCACUACAAGCUGGACCUGCGUUGUAUUAGCUAGUAGGUGAGGUAAUGGCCCAACUAGGCGACGAAACCGAGCCGACCUGGGAGGGGUGACGGCCACACUGGGACUUGGACCCGGCCCAGGCCUCCUCGGGAGGCAGCAGUAGGGGAUUCUCGGCAAUGGGGGCAAAGCUGACCGGGCAACGCCGCCGGGGUGAAGAAGGUUUUCGGGUCGGAAAGCUCUGGUUAUAGGCAAGAACGGGAGGUGGAAGGAAAAGUUCACGCUGUGACGGUAGCUUACCAGAAAGCGACGGCUAACUACGUG
rnacentral:rRNA from 1 species